UUUCCGCAGCUAGGACGCCAUACGCCCAGGUCUGCGGGUCGCCUACCUUGAUCUCGUAAUGCGUAGGUCGACGGUUCGAUUCCGUCAGGCG
rnacentral:tRNA from 1 species